UCUGGUUACCAAAAAGCUUAAUGCAUGAUUUCUGGUUACCACUGAGCUUAGUGUAUGAUCUCUGGAUCUUCUCUGCAUCUUAUUUCUUUUAUAACAAUCAAUGUCACUUGAAGGGAAAUGAAAAGAUAAGCUAAGCUUGAUAUCAAAGUACUUAAGGGUAUAAACAAUCAUAAGUUAUAUUAUACUUUCUGUUGGCAUUGGGCUUGUAUAAAAAAUACAACUUAAAUCACUUUUGUGUAUGAUAUUUGUAAUAGAACAUGUUCAUAAACUUUUAAAUGUUAAACCUUACUAUUUUCUUAUUGUGUAUGUGAUCAGUGACACUUGGAUUCAAGUAUCAUUUUUACAUCACAUUUAUUUUGAUUGAUUGUCUCACGAAAAUGUUCAUAAAAGUUAUGUCUGUAGAUGUGUUAGAACUGAUACUAGAAGUUACUCUGUGCAUUAGAGUCACGUGUUCGGACCAAGUUUAGCAGCUAAUACUAAAUCUAGCUCUUUAUAUAUACAUUAUUUUUUAAAAUUAUAAUUUUAAGUAUAAUCCAAACAUUUGAUGAGAUAAGACCUCUCCCCAUCUCAAAUGUACAAGGACUGCCUUUUUUUUUUUUACAAAGCUGAUAUUAACUCUAUGUAUCUUUGGGUGGAUUCUUGUACACUUUUAUUUCAGCCUUCUUAUUCUAGGAUCAAGUAGAAACUGUGUACAAUUAUUCAUUGAAUAAAACACGAAUCAAUAAAAAAAAAAAAAAAAAAAAAAAAGGGGAGAUAACAAUACAAUGUUGAUAGAUUGUCAGCGAUUUAACGGUGAUCAUUCACUCAAUUAUGAUCUGUUGUUUUUUAAAAAAGUAUUUUUACUUUGCUCAUUUUUACUAUGAAUGUUAAUUUGUAGUGAUGGCAAAAGUUAACUAAAAAGUUGCCAACUUUUAGUUUAAGUAUAAAAAAUUAGUUAAGGCCAAAGUUUAAUUUUUAAAAAAAGUUUAGUUAAAAUCCUAGUUUAAUUAUUUUUUUUUUAGUUACAAACUAAAAAAUUCAAUUACAAAUUUUACAAACUGUUCUAACAUACAUACCAAUAAAUAUUUAGAUCUAUCUAAUUUGGAGAAUACAUAUAUCGAACAAUAGAGGGAAGAAUUAACUAGAGGGUGCACAGGUCACUAGAAAGCCUUUUGACCUUUAACUUAUAAUGCUCGCUAGUCCCGCCAAUUCAAGGUAUUUGAAAGGCGUGAAAAAUAAGUGUGUUCAUUAUAUUUCUAGCAAGUUUCGCUGCUUGAUAAAUCCUGAUAAUUCCUUACUUCUAUAGAUCUACAUUUUGCUGCUUUUUAUUAAUUGUGCCGAUGUGCCCAAACCAAACCUUAAACACCAGUGUGUUCCUGUAUAGCUGCAGGCAAAGAAUUUUGCUUUACUAUAGAUCUAAAAGAAAUGUCGACUCUUUUUAAAACUUUUUACUAGAUAGUCUAGUCAGUCUAGAGUUAGAGUCUAGUGACGUCUAGUCUAUUAGUAUUAGUCUAUUACUAGCUACAAUUAGUAAGUAUUAGAUCUAUAGUCAAUUCUAGAUAUAUCUAGAUUACUUAUUAUACUAAGACCUAAGCUGCAUAGAUGAUAGAUCUAUAAUGACUAUAUAAUACUAACUAUAAUAGUCACUAUGCUAGAUCUAAUACUAAAUUAACUAAAUCUAGACUAGAUCUACAUCUACAUCAUUAUAAUUAUACUUAUAUUUACUAUCUAGAUCUAUUAGAUCUAGAUCUAGUAUUUUCUACUAGAGUGGCUGCCUGGUCGUGCGGUUUGCGCGAUGGACUGUCGUUUGGAUUUGUCGAGGGUU